rnacentral:piRNA from 1 species
UUUAGAAAUUAGUUAGUGUUG